CUGCCUGUGAGCUUCGCCUGCUGUGCUCGUCUGGGAAAAUCUCGCUGUUAGUAAUUGCAUCUGAAGUGGUAUUUUUACUAUUAAGAGUGAGCGUGAUGAAGCUGUCUCUCCUGGUUGUGUUGCUGACACUCAGCCUGGCAUUGGCUGACGACAACGACUCUAAAAACCCGCAAUCACGUUUUUUUCUGGAUCCCCUCGGCUUGUUUAAGCCAUGGCCUUUAGGUGUCCCUACAUUACCUACCUUACCUGGAUUUCCCUCAUUUCCGAAAUUCCCCUUUUUCCCCUUUUUCCCUGGAUUCCCGGGACUACCGAAGCCUCCCUUCCUGGACAGUAAUAACCAGUAUCCAAGCGUCGGUACAGGUAAUCCUGGCGUUUCACCUGGUUUGGGUACCUAUCCAGGGUACGUAGGAAAGCCUGUUGGAACCGGAUUUGGGACGCCAUCACUAAGCCCUUCAGGAUAACGCACACUCUGCUCCAUAUCUGAGUGGCACAGCGGAGAGAGUCGAGCCUGGAGAGAGGUCGACCGUGAACCUUAAGACUGGCUCGCAUUGCACAUAUCAUUCAUCAGCCAUUUCCUCUCACAGUUUCUUCACUAUUUAUCAAGUUCAACCUGAUAACUUCUGUGGAUUAAAUACUUGUGUAUCUAUCUAAUUUAUUUACAAUUUGUUACUUGUUAGCACUGUGUGUUCCCUUGAUUCUCUGCCCUUUAAAUAUGGAUAAAUCUUAGUAGUCUCCGUCACAACAGUGUCACUCUCGUUCACUCUCUGGUUGGACCAGUAUGUCUAGUCAAGUACUCAUUUGGACCUUCGUAAACACCUGUGACUCUAGUGCUCUCUUGUGUAAAUAUAUUUGAGCGUUACAGUCGA